rnacentral:pre_miRNA from 1 species
UUUUUAGUAUAAAUAUGUCCCAUACAACAUUUGGGACAUACUUAUGUUUAAA